GGUUAAGCGACUAAGCGUACACGGUGGAUGCCCUGGCAGUCAGAGGCGAUGAAGGACGUGCUAAUCUGCGAUAAGCGCCGGUAAGGUGAUAUGAACCGUUAUAACCGGCGAUUUCCGAAUGGGGAAACCCAGUGUGAUUCGUCACACUAUCAUUAACUGAAUCCAUAGGUUAAUGAGGCGAACCGGGGGAACUGAAACAUCUAAGUACCCCGAGGAAAAGAAAUCAACCGAGAUUCCCCCAGUAGCGGCGAGCGAACGGGGAGGAGCCCAGAGCCUGAAUCAGCAUGUGUGUUAGUGGAAGCGUCUGGAAAGGCGCGCGAUACAGGGUGACAGCCCCGUACACAAAAAUGCACAUGCUGUGAGCUCGAUGAGUAGGGCGGGACACGUGGUAUCCUGUCUGAAUAUGGGGGGACCAUCCUCCAAGGCUAAAUACUCCUGACUGACCGAUAGUGAACCAGUACCGUGAGGGAAAGGCGAAAAGAACCCCGGCGAGGGGAGUGAAAAAGAACCUGAAACCGUGUACGUACAAGCAGUGGGAGCACCCUUUGGGGUGUGACUGCGUACCUUUUGUAUAAUGGGUCAGCGACUUAUAUUCUGUAGCAAGGUUAACCGUAUAGGGGAGCCGGAGGGAAACCGAGUCUUAACCGGGCGUUAAGUUGCAGGGUAUAGACCCGAAACCCGGUGAUCUAGCCAUGGGCAGGUUGAAGGUUGGGUAACACUAACUGGAGGACCGAACCGACUAAUGUUGAAAAAUUAGCGGAUGACCUGUGGCUGGGGGUGAAAGGCCAAUCAAACCGGGAGAUAGCUGGUUCUCCCCGAAAGCUAUUUAGGUAGCGCCUCGUGAACUCAUCUCCGGGGGUAGAGCACUGUUUCGGCUAGGGGGCCAUCCCGGCUUACCAACCCGAUGCAAACUGCGAAUACCGGAGAAUGUUAUCACGGGAGACACACGGCGGGUGCUAACGUCCGUCGUGAAGAGGGAAACAACCCAGACCGCCAGCUAAGGUCCCAAAGUCAUGGUUAAGUGGGAAACGAUGUGGGAAGGCCCAGACAGCCAGGAUGUUGGCUUAGAAGCAGCCAUCAUUUAAAGAAAGCGUAAUAGCUCACUGGUCGAGUCGGCCUGCGCGGAAGAUGUAACGGGGCUAAACCAUGCACCGAAGCUGCGGCAGCGAACGUAUCACUUAAAGCGAUUCAGCGGGUUACGAUUGACGGAGCGAAGCGACGUCAAAGCGUAUACAAAGUCGAGUCGGUUUA
rnacentral:rRNA from 1 species